GAUGAAGAACGCAGCGAAAUGCGAUAAGUAAUGUGAAUUGUAGAAUUCAGUGAAUCAUCGAAUCUUUGAACGCACCUUGCACCCUUUGGCAUUCCGAAGGGUAUGCUCGUUUGAGUGUCAUUGUACUCUCACACUCUCCGAUCCUAUGGAUUCGGGGAGCGGUGGACUUGGGUGUUGCUGCCUUUCCUUGUGGCUCACCUCAAAUGCGUCAGUGCACCUCUUGGUUGGACAUAGUACGGCGUGAUAAGUGUCUCCGCCGGCACCUCGCAAGAGGGUGGCCGAUCGGGAGCUCUGCGCUUUCAAACCGUCUUCGGACAAUUUCUGACAACUUGACCUCAAAUCGAGUAGGACUACCCGCUGAACUUAAGCAUAUCAAUAAGCGGAGGA
rnacentral:misc_RNA from 1 species